AUGGCGACUGUGAUGGCCAUGGGCUCCUUCGCCGGUGCCGCCGUCCUGCCGCGGGGCUCGGCUGGCCGCUUCGGCGCCCGGUCUCUGCCAGCGCUGGGCCGACGCACCCUCAUCGUCAGGGCACAGACAAACAAACCCAAGACGAGCACCUCAAUCUGGAACGCGCUGGCGUUCAGCGGCCCUGCGCCGGAGCGAAUCAACGGGCGCCUUGCCAUGGUAGGCUUCGUGACGGCGCUUGCGGUGGAGGCAGGGCGCGGCGACGGGCUCCUCUCGCAGCUCGGCAGUGGCACCGGGCAGGCGUGGUUCGCCUACUGUGUGGCGGUGCUGUCCGUGGCGUCACUGGUGCCGUUGCUCCAGGGCGAGAGCGCCGAGGGCAGAGCCGGCGCCAUCAUGAACGCCAACGCGGAGCUCUGGAACGGCCGCUUCGCCAUGCUCGGCCUCGUCGCGCUCGCCGCCACCGAGAUCAUCACCGGCGCGCCUUUUAUCAACGUGUAA
rnacentral:rRNA from 1 species